UCUCAAAAAUAAAUAAAUAAAUGAAUAAAUAAAUAAAGAGAAAACGUUGUGCCUGUACCCACGGAGUUGAGGAAGUGGGAGGCGAAGGGUAUCGCCCGUUUUCUCUAGGACGCACCCUGGUGAGGGGUUUUGUAAUACGAGUCCCAUGAAGCCCCUCGCCUACGCUGCCUUUCGUCAAAAGCUCCCGACGCCGUGGAGCAUCACGGUCGUUGUAGUCCACGCCGUGGUCACGCCCUGACGGAGGCGGGCGCAGCCACAACAUGCGUGGGAGGUGACAGGUCGCGACGGCAGCGAUAGUUGGCAGUGGGGGGGGGGGUGACUGUAAUUGGUAAGGGUUUACCAGUUCCUGUUCAAGGGGGCAAGGAUACUAUUCCCCCGGAUCUCAUCUCCUGUUUCCCCUCUCUCCCUCCGAAUUCUGAGACCCCGGGGGAGCUCUGAGCCUCCGGGUUCGGGGAGCGGUGCUGCUCCAUCCGCGGAGGUGACGUCAGUCCCCCUCCUCAGCCUCUUGCCACCCAGAGCUAAUUUGAUACAGGUGACCAUAUGGUGUGUGGAUCAAGGACUGGAACGUAGCUCCCUUACGGCCACGGUGGAAGGGACCCCAGACGGUUAUCCUGACCACUCCCACGGCUGUGAAGAGAGAAGGAAUUUCGGCCUGGAUGCACCACAGCUGCAUAAAGCCUGCAGCCACUGGAACCUGGGAGGCCAAACCAGCCUAGACAAUCCCCGCAAAGUAACCCUGAGGAGGACGACAAGCCCUGCUCCAGUCACCCCCGGAAGCUGACUGGUCUACGCUCGGCCGAAGCAUAAGGAAAAUCGCCGUGGGACUUACCUUCCUUAUAACAUGGACUUGUGUGGUAAAAGCUUCCACUGCUUCUUCCCACGCAGAGGACUGCCUUCAGUGCAUACAUCAGGUCACUGAGGUAGGACAACAAGUUUAGACAAUCUUUUUGUUCUAUAGUUAUUAUGAAUGCCUAGGAAUUCCAAAAGGAACAUGUUUGUAUAAUAACACUCAGUACAAAGUCUGUAAUCCAGGAAGUGACCAGCCCGAUGUGUGCUAUGACCCCUCUGAACCUCCCAUUUCCACAGUUUUUGAAAUAAGAUUAAGGACUGAAGACUGGUGGGGACUCAUAAAUGAGACAAGUAAAGUAUUAGCCAGAACAGUAGAAAAAGGGGUGCCCAGAUGCAUAAUCUUAAAAUCUGAUGCUUGUGCCGUCAUUAAUAGCAAUAAGUUAGGAGCAGGAUGUGGCUCUUUUAAUUAGGAAAAAAAAAAAAAAAUACAUGUCCGAAAAUCAGUACAUCUGUCAUGAAUUAGGAUUGUGUGGAAAAGAAUGUGGGUACUGGUCUUGUGACAUUUAGGCUACUUGGAAAAAAAAGAAAAUGAAAAAGAUCCUGUUUGGCUCCAAAAAAGCAAAGGCAGACCCUCCUGCAGGAGUGGAAGCUGCAGCCCUUUAGAAUUAGUCGUCACAAGCCCCUCGGACCCAAAAUAGGAAAAAGGAAAAUACGUUCUCUCGAGGCAUUGAUGGAAAAGAACUAGACCGUAAGGUCAACAUUUUAAUAAAAGGAGAGAUUUGAAAACGCUCUCCAGAGCCAGUAUUUCCGACUUUCUAUGAUGAACUAAAUGUGCCAGUACCUGAAAUUCCAGGAAAAACUAGAAAUUUGUUUUUGCAAUUAGCCGAGCAUGUAGCCCAGUCUCUACAAGUCACUUCAUGUGAUGUUUGUGGAGGAACCGUAACAGGAGAUCAAUGGCCAUGGGAAGCCCGAGAAUGUACAGACCCAGUUCCUGAUGAAUUCCUGGCCCAAAAGAACCACCCUGACAAUUUCUAGGUUCUAAAAGCCUCAAUUAUUGGACAGUAUUGCAUAGCUAGAGAAGGAAAACAAUUCACUCAUCCUGUAGGGCGGCUUAGUUGUCUUGGACAAAAACUGUAUGAUGGUACCUACCACAAAAACAGUUACAUGGUGCAACUGUUUCAAUGACACAGAAAAAAGAUCCAUUCAGUAAAUUUCCAAAAUUGCAGACUGUUUAGGCCCACCCAGAAUUCCACCAGGACUGAUCUGCCCCCACCGGGUUAUACUGGAUAUGUGAACAUAGAGCCUAUGCUAAGUUACCUGAUCAGUGGACAGGUAGCUGUGUAAUGGCCACUAUUAAACCAUCUUUCUUCCUACUGCCCAUAAAAACAGGCAAAGUCCUAGGAUUCCCUGUCUAUGCUUCCCGCAAAGAAACGAAGCAUAGUCAUAGGUAACUGGAAAGAUGACGAAUGGCCCCCUGAAAGAAUUAUACACUACUAUGGGCCCACCACUUGGGCACAAGACGGCUUAUAGGGAUAUCGGACCCCCAUCUACAUGCUCAACCAAAUCAUACGGUUGCAAGCUGUUCUAGAAUUUAUUACUAAUAAAACCGGUCAAGCCUUGACUCUUCUUGCCCGGCAAGAGACUUAGAUGAGGAAUGCUAUCUACCAAAAUAGACUAGCUCUCAACUACUUGCUGGCAGCUGAAGGAGGAGUCUGUGGAAAAUUUAACCUUACUAAUUGCUGUCUACACACACAUGAUCAAGGGCAAGUAGUUGAAGACAUAAUUAAAGAUAUAACAAAACUGGCACAUGUGCCCGUGCAAGUGUGGCACGGAUUUGAUCCUGGGGCUAUGUUUGGAAAUUGGUUCCCAGCAAUAGGAGGAUUUAAAACUCUUAUAAUAGGAGGUAUAAUAGUAAUAGGAAUCUGCUUACUACUCCCUUGUUUGCUACCUGUACUUCUUCAAAUGAUAAAAAGCUUCAUCGCUACCUUAGUUCACCAGAGUGCUUCAGCACAAACAUAUUAUAUGAACCACUAUCAAUCUAUUGCACAGGAAGACAUAAGUAGUAAAAAUGAAAGUGAGAACUCCCACUAAUAAAAUGAGUGAGAGUCUCAAAGGGAGGAAAUGAGAGAAGAGAGAAAGAGACCCCCCCCCAUAUUGUUCUAUACUAUUUUAUACUCAGUACCUGUUUUAAGAAGAAACAAGGAAGCGAAACCAAAGGCAGGCAGCCCAGCGCCAGGCACCAGACCCAAAACCAGGCCUGGGCCUGCCUCACUUUAGCCUGACAGUUAAAAUUCAACCCAUGACUUAGCAACCGAUGUUAUCCAUAGAUUCCAGACAUUGUAUAGAAGGACAUUGUGAAACUUCUCAUUCUGUUCUGUUUCACUCCGAUUACUGGUGCAGGCAGCCCCUGUCACAUACCCCCUAGAUUGCUCAAUUAGUCACAGUCCUUUCAUGUAAAAUCUUUAGUGUUGUGAGUCCUUAAAAGGGACAGAAAUUGUGCAGUCAACAAGUUUGGAUUUUAAGAUGCUAGUCUGCCAAUGCUUCCAGCUGAUUAAAAGCUACUUCCUUCACUA